UAAGCGUACACGGUGGAUGCCCUGGCAGUCAGAGGCGAUGAAGGGCGUGCUAAUCUGCGAUAAGCGCCGGUAAGGUGAUAUGAACCGUUAUAACCGGCGAUACCCGAAUGGGGAAACCCAGUGUGACUCGUCACACUAUCAUUAACUGAAUCCAUAGGUUAAUGAGGCGAACCGGGGGAACUGAAACAUCUAAGUACCCCGAGGAAAAGAAAUCAACCGAGAUUCCCCCAGUAGCGGCGAGCGAACGGGGAGGAGCCCAGAGCCUGAAUCAGCAUGUGUGUUAGUGGAAGCGUCUGGAAAGGCGCGCGAUACAGGGUGAC
rnacentral:rRNA from 1 species